rnacentral:rRNA from 2 species
GAGUAAUGUCUGGGAAACUGCCUGAUGGAGGGGGAUAACUACUGGAAACGGUGGCUAAUACCGCAUAACGUCGCAAGACCAAAGAGGGGGACCUUCGGGCCUCUUGCCAUCAGAUGUGCCCAGAUGGGAUUAGCUUGUUGGUGAGGUAACGGCUCACCAAGGCGACGAUCCCUAGCUGGUCUGAGAGGAUGACCAGCCACACUGGAACUGAGACACGGUCCAGACUCCUACGGGAGGCAGCAGUGGGGAAUAUUGCACAAUGGGCGCAAGCCUGAUGCAGCCAUGCCGCGUGUAUGAAGA